rnacentral:rRNA from 1 species
AGGACGAACGCUGGCGGCGCGCUUAAUACAUGCAAGUCGAGCGAGAACCAGGGCUUCGGCUCUGGGGACAGCGGCGAACGGGUGAGUAACACGUGGGUAAUCAACCCCCGACACCGGGAUAGCCCAGGGAAACUUGGAUUAAUACCGGAUGCUCCGUCUGGCCUUCGGGCCGGCCGGAAAAGGGUAGCUUCGGCCUCCGGUCGGGGACGAGCCCGCGGCGGAUUAGCUUGUUGGUGAGGUAAAGGCUCACCAAGGCGACGAUCCGUAGCUGGUCUGAGAGGACGAUCAGCCACACUGGGACUGAGACACGGCCCAGACUCCUACGGGAGGCAGCAGUAGGGAAUCUUGCGCAAUGGGCGAAAGCCUGACGCAGCGACGCCGCGUGAGGGAUGACGGCCUUCGGGUUGUAACCUCUUUCGACCGGGACGAGCGUGAGUGACGGUACCGGUAGAAGAAGCACCGGCUAACUACGUGCCAGCAGCCGC